rnacentral:rRNA from 1 species
UACGUAGGGGGCAAGCGUUAAUCGGAAUUACUGGGCGUAAAGCGCGCGUAGGUGGUUCGUUAAGUUGGAUGUGAAAUCCCCGGGCUCAACCUGGGAACUGCAUUCAAAACUGACGAGCUAGAGUAUGGUAGAGGGUGGUGGAAUUUCCUGUGUAGCGGUGAAAUGCGUAGAUAUAGGAAGGAACACCAGUGGCGAAGGCGACCACCUGGACUGAUACUGACACUGAGGUGCGAAAGCGUGGGGAGCAAACAGG